rnacentral:rRNA from 1 species
GACGAACGCUGGCGGCGUGCUUAACACAUGCAAGUCGAACGGAAAGACCCUGCUUUUGUGGGGUGCUCGAGUGGCGAACGGGUGAGUAACACGUGAGUAACCUGCCCUUGACUUUGGGAUAACUUCAGGAAACUGGGGCUAAUACCGGAUAGGAGCUCCUGCUGCAUGGUGGGGGUUGGAAAGUUUCGGCGGUUGGGGAUGGACUCGCGGCUUAUCAGCUUGUUGGUGGGGUAGUGGCUUACCAAGGCUUUGACGGGUAGCCGGCCUGAGAGGGUGACCGGCCACAUUGGGACUGAGAUACGGCCCAGACUCCUACGGGAGGCAGAAGUGGGGAAUAUUGCACAAUGGGCGGAAGCCUGAUGCAGCAACGCCGCGUGCGUGAUGACGGCCUUCGGGUUGUAAACCGCUUUCGCCUGUGACGAAGCGUGAGUGACGGUAAUGGGUAAAGAAGCACCGGCUAACUACGUG